ACGAACGCUGGCGGCAGGCUUAACACAUGCAAGUCGAACGGUCUCUUCGGAGGCAGUGGCAGACGGGUGAGUAACACGUGGGAAUCUACCCAUCUCUACGGAACAACUCCGGGAAACUGGAGCUAAUACCGUAUACGCCCUUUUGGGGAAAGAUUUAUCGGAGAUGGAUGAGCCCGCGUUGGAUUAGCUAGUUGGUGGGGUAAAGGCCUACCAAGGCGACGAUCCAUAGCUGGUCUGAGAGGAUGAUCAGCCACAUUGGGACUGAGACACGGCCCAAACUCCUACGGGAGGCAGCAGUGGGGAAUAUUGGACAAUGGGCGCAAGCCUGAUCCAGCCAUGCCGCGUGAGUGAUGAAGGCCCUAGGGUUGUAAAGCUCUUUCACCGGUGAAGAUAAUGACGGUAACCGGAGAAGAAGCCCCGGCUAACUUCGUGCCAGCAGCCGCGGUAAUACGAAGGGGGCUAGCGUUGUUCGGAAUUACUGGGCGUAAAGCGCACGUAGGCGGAUAUUUAAGUCAGGGGUGAAAUCCCGCAGCUCAACUGCGGAACUGCCUUUGAUACUGGGUAUCUUGAGUAUGGAAGAGGUGAGUGGAAUUCCAGUGAAG
rnacentral:rRNA from 1 species